rnacentral:rRNA from 1 species
AUUGAACGCUGGCGGCAGGCUUAACACAUGCAAGUCGAGCGGAGAUGAGGUGCUUGCACCUUAUCUUAGCGGCGGACGGGUGAGUAAUGCUUAGGAAUCUGCCUAUUAGUGGGGGACAACAUUCCGAAAGGAAUGCUAAUACCGCAUACGUCCUACGGGAGAAAGCAGGGGAUCUUCGGACCUUGCGCUAAUAGAUGAGCCUAAGUCGGAUUAGCUAGUUGGUGGGGUAAAGGCCUACCAAGGCGACGAUCUGUAGCGGGUCUGAGAGGAUGAUCAGCCACACUGGGACUGAGACACGGCCCAGACUCCUACGGGAGGCAGCAGGGGGGAAUAUUGGACAAUGGGGGGAACCCUGAUCCAGCCAUGCCGCGUGUGUGAAGAAGGCCUUAUGGUUGUAAAGCACUUUAAGCGAGGAGGAGGCUACUGAGACUAAUACUCUUGGAUAGUGGACGUUACUCGCAGAAUAAGCACCGGCUAACUCUGUGCCAGCAGCCGCCGUAACAC